UGUACACACCGCCCGUCGCUCCUACCGAUACCGGGUGAUCCGGUGAACCUUUUGGACCUUUAUUGGAAAAAUAAGUAAACCUUAUCACCUAGAGGAAGGAGAAGUCGUAACAAGGUUUCCGUAGGUGAACCUGCGGAAGGAUCAUUUACUAAAACUAAACUAAAAACUAACUGGUUAUUAGAGAGAAAUCUCUAUUUGAAGUAAAAGAAAACAAAAUAAAUGAAAUGGUUGAGUAAAUCUAAAUUUUCAACGAUGGAUGUCUUGGCUCCCAUAUCGAUGAAGAACGCAGCAAGAAUGCGAUAUGCAGUGUGAAUUGCAGAACCAUGAAUCAUCGGAUUUUCUAACGUAACUGACACUGGCGAAGAACCAGUAUACUUGUUUCAGUGUCCCCAACCAAACACAUAAACAAAAUGUAUGAGAAGUUCUCAUAUUAAAUUAAUGCUCUUUGUAGCAAUCACAGAAAUGUGAAUCUAUAAGGAGGAUUUUUUAAUUUGACCUGAAAUCAAGUAAGAUGACCCGCUGGACUUAAGCAUAUCAAUAAGCGGAG
rnacentral:rRNA from 1 species